GGCUCAGGACGAACGCUGGCGGCGUGCCUAAUACAUGCAAGUCGAACGAACUCUGGUAUUGAUUGGUGCUUGCAUCAUGAUUUACAUUUGAGUGAGUGGCGAACUGGUGAGUAACACGUGGGAAACCUGCCCAGAAGCGGGGGAUAACACCUGGAAACAGAUGCUAAUACCGCAUAACAACUUGGACCGCAUGGUCCGAGCUUGAAAGAUGGCUUCGGCUAUCACUUUUGGAUGGUCCCGCGGCGUAUUAGCUAGAUGGUGGGGUAACGGCUCACCAUGGCAAUGAUACGUAGCCGACCUGAGAGGGUAAUCGGCCACAUUGGGACUGAGACACGGCCCAAACUCCUACGGGAGGCAGCAGUAGGGAAUCUUCCACAAU
rnacentral:rRNA from 1 species